UUCUUAACCACUCUACAGUCGUUGGUAAUUAUAGCUACCGAUUCCAAAUUCACCUCAGGAGUCGAUGGUAGCUAUACUUACCAAUAGUCGGGGUUCCGUUAGGGUGACCAAUUUUAUGGAUUAACUAGUUUUAAAAGCUAGUAUAGAUUAUAAAAUUAUACUAGUAUUGUGUACUAUAAAAAUCCUUACUAGGUGGUAUUUGCAUCUCUUCCCUAUGAGUUGGUAACAUUAAAAAAACAACUGUUAAAGUCUGACGAGUGUUGGUCGAGUCUACUGUCAACUACUGUGUUUGCGAGUGAGUGUUUUAGACAAGAAAUAUGCCCAGAUGCCCAGGAUAUUGAUUACAGGGUACACCAAAUUUGGUCAACUUUCAUCAUGAGAUGCUAUAGUUCAGCUAUAGAGAGGAGACAGAGAGUAAUUACAAAAAAAAACGAAUUACCAAACUGUCAGUAGAUGUCCGACAGGAGCUUACGGACAGAAAGCGGCAGGCGCAAUUAGAUUUUGCAAUAAGGCCGCCUUUUGUCUCUAGUGUCUCGAUUUAUUUGUUUGGUACGUCAUUUUGUGCAAUCAAGUAUAUUGUAUUGUAAGACUGUCAUUUUAAAUUCUAAUAAAAAAAUAUUUUUAAGGUCCGAAUGAUAAGUGCUUGGUAAAAAAUGUAAAUAAAACAAGCAUUCAAUUAUAAAUUGGUUUUAGUUCAUAUUAAUAAACCUUAAUUUUUCUACUGGUUUUCUUUAAUUCCUGAAAUCACAUACACAAAAUGUUAAUCUUACCCCGUUAUUGGUAACUAUAGUUACCAUCGACUUAACCUCGUAACGCCGAAGCAUAAUUACGAUUUCGAAGUAAUAAACGACGGUGGUACCUUGAAAAGGACCAAAUUUUUGUAGUCGUAAAGGCCAAGCACUUCAAGUACAAAUUUUAAAGUGUUAGAGUUAUCCGAUCGGGUUCAAAUUAAGUGGAGACCUAUGUAAGGAUGAAUAGAAGACAUUUUUGAAAAAAAAUACGUUUUUUUUUUAGUUCUUCCAGAAGGACUCCCGGUUGAAGUCACUACUUUUAGUAAAAUCUGAAAAAUAUUAUUAUUAUAAAGGGUUAUGUAUUUUUUCAUUAACAUACAUACCUAUUUUUACGUCAUAAAUAUGUGUAUAUACUUACAUAUUUAAAUAUAAAAUAAGUAACGAGUUUUAGUUUUUAUGAUGUAGUUUGUGAUUAGUCCCUCUGGAAGUACAUUAGGUUUUUAUUAUUAGGAAAGAAAUUAAUUCAUGGUGUCAGUCUAGAUCAUCAUUAGAAGGAAAAAGGAAAUAAAAUGAAGACGGUAGUUUUUUUUAAUAAUAAGAUCACGUAAGUAAGUCAGUCUAUACCGGUAUGAUUUAAUCACAUAUAACAAUUUAAAAAAGUAUUUGAAAAAUAUCCGGACAUGACACCUAAAGUCCCUUGCAAAGGACUAAAAAAGUUUGCUUUCAUAUUGCUAACGAUAUCGAUACGAAAUUGAUAAAAUAACUAUGUCAUGUUGUUGAUUAUUAUAUUACCUGCGAUUUCUGAAAAUAAUGUGUAUGAAAAACUACGAAAUUCGAUUAUUGACUUGAUUUUUUUUUUACCUCGUCGCCGUGUGCGCACCAUCUUUACCAAUAAAAUGACAAAUUACGACAAGUGAUACAUAUUUCUUUUUUAUUAAAGCCACCUAUUCACGAAAUUGAAUGAACUAGUUCAUAGACAAAAUACUUUUUUUCUCAAUCGGCGCAAAGGUUUGAAUUAAAUUGACAGGCAAAGUUUUGGUACUUUUAAAAGUACCUUCGUUGAUUAUUAGAACAAACUAUUUCAAAACCUUCGGCCUUUAUGACUACAAUUAAUUGGUCCUUCUCAGAGGACCCCAGGGCUUACGAG
rnacentral:lncRNA from 1 species